rnacentral:rRNA from 1 species
UGGGGAAUAUUGGACAAUGGGCGCAAGCCUGAUCCAGCCAUGCCGCGUGAGUGAUGAAGGCCCUAGGGUUGUAAAGCUCUUUCACCGGUGAAGAUAAUGACGGUAACAGGAGAAGAAGCCCCGGCUAACUUCGUGCCAGCAGCCGCGGUAAGACGAAGGGGGCUAGCGUUGUUCGGAUUUACUGGGCGUAAAGCGCACGUAGGCGGACUAUUAAGUCAGGGGUGAAAUCCCGGGGCUCAACCCCGGAACUGCCUUUGAUACUGGUAGUCUUGAGUUCGAGAGAGGUGAGUGGAAUUCCGAGUGUAGAGGUGAAAUUCGUAGAUAUUCGGAGGAACACCAGUGGCGAAGGCGGCUCACUGGCUCGAUACUGACGCUGAGGUGCGAAAGCGUGGGGAGCAAACAGG